CUGAUACUCUCAAUUGCCUGAAUCUUGCAAAAGUAAUCUAUUACAUUUGAGGCCAUCAAAUCUCAGACCAGAAAUGUUGAAACCAAUGAGGCCAAAAUAACCUUUUUGAUAUUAAAAUCCAGAAACUUUUGGUAAACAUUCAACAAAUCUGAAGGUUUACAAUCACACAGAACUAGAUCACAUAGUUGGCAACCCAGGGCAGAUAAUUAGCUAACAGAAAGAACAAACCCAUCGUGUCUGUUUGAACGACAAGUAAUAUGGAUGUAUCUAGCACUUACGUCCGUUUGAGCGACAAGUAAUAUGGAUAGGAGGGAGUAUUUGUCUGCCAUAAGUUGCUGAAACUCUCAAUUGCCUGAAUCUUGCAAAAGUAAUGUAUUACAUUUGGGGCCAUCAAAUCUCAGACCAGAAAUGUUGAAACCAAUGAGGCCAAAAUAACCUUUUUGAUAUUAAAAUCCAGAAACUUUUGGUAAACAUUCAACAAAUCUGAAGGUUUACAAUCACACAGAACUAGAUCACAUAGUUGGCAACCCAGGGCAGAUAAUUAGCUAACAGAAAGAACAAACCCAUCGUCUCUGUCAUGUACACCGAAAAUUAUUUCCCAUGCCGGC
rnacentral:lncRNA from 1 species